UGCCCUACAACUCCUAUCCCUACCUCCUCGCGGUACCGGCCGGAAACAAUGAACAACCUUAAGGAAGAUCGGAUAACCAACCCCGGUGGGAACUUUAGUCGUAAGCUGACAGGGAAGG
rnacentral:ribozyme from 1 species